UUUCCUGCACCAUCUAACUAGUCCACCUACGCUGCCCUGCGCUAUUCGACACGAAGCCAUGGCGGUUCCCCUUCUCUAUAGGCCAACAGAGAAGGCCGCUCCAUCCAAGCGGUUGCGAGCCGGCUGCGGUGGUUCCGCAGAAGGGGAAUAGGGCAUCCCACCGGUGGGAUGCAGUUGAACUGAAGCGACAGUGCCAAGUUGGAUCGCGAUUUCGGCUGCGGAGCGGCGCUUGGCCGCAGCGACGCGCUCCACGAGCUUGAGAAGUGUAUUGUCUCUCCUCUCCCAUCCUCGUAUCCUUGAUUGAUCCUCGCCUCCCUGAUUGAUCUAGGCCCAUUGAUCUGGGUCAAUUUUUCAUUGACUAGGUAUGAAUAUGAUUGACCUCAUUUUCAAGCUUGGUCACUCGCUCACUGCACGCGCUCAUGAGCUCAAGCCCCGCCCCUUACCUCCCUCUAACUUGGCCACCUCCAUCCCCUGGUAAAAUACUAAAAUCCCUUUUUGUUUUUUAUAGACUGAAAUUUGUUUGUGUCGGCUGAAUUUGUGUGUUUUCAGUUUGGCAUCUAAAUGGGGGUCGUAAGUUAUGAUGGGGACAUUACUUGUCAGGGAAUCACUUGGGCUUGUUAUAGUAACAGCAGAACGAAAUGACCAUAUUAUAUGAAAUUAUACUGCUUAUGCUAAGGUUAUAGUAUUAGACAAAGGUGAUUCUUUUUCAAAUUAGUGACAAAUCAUAGCUCAUUUUGUUGUGGAAGGACAAUUUAACAUUCAGUUACUUUCUCAGACUAAAUUGACAUCGGUUCAUACAAAUGACCUUGUCGCUGCUAAUCUCAGGCCAUCCAGGCAAGACAUAGCUUCAAUUUUUUUGGCAUCAGUGCAUGCUUGAAGCACUCUGCCUACAGAAAGCAAAACCUUUCCGAUUAUCUUGUAAAACCAUCCACACACUCGCAGCUCCUGCUGCCCUAAUGAUAGAGCCAUCCACAUUGAUUUUGAUCCAGUUCAUUCCGGCGGCUUCCAGCCAGAUCAAUUAUGUACUCAACCACUCGCCCCUUUCUUCCGUGAGUAAUUAACUGGUAUAUUGCUGCAUGUGUUAUUGCAGUGGGCAAGUGCAGAAAAGUUAUGGCCUAUUUGAUGUGAAGAAGUUGAGGGGAAUGUGUUGCAAACCAUGAUGUUUUCCUAACCUAUUGAUUUUGUCACAGGACUCGGUCGCCACUCCACAAUUCCAUAUGGUGGCUACUGACAAAUUUAUUUGUACAAUAAAGAAGCUAAUUUGUUUAAUCUUGUUAGAUACACUUGCGGAAUGCAUAAGUAGCUUCAUCAUUGUCUUUUUAUAUUUUAUAUCUUCUGACAUGAACUAUUGCAUCUACUGAGGUGAUUGCGUUGGGAAGCUUGCCAGACUACAUGCUAGGCUCUCUACCGCUAUGCAAUAGUAUUUUUGUCAGUCUACAAUCUAGUGCUCAGAAUUAUUCUGUUUGGAAAUAACAAACAUGACAAGCUUUUUUUCUGAAAUUGUGGUCUGCAUGUUCAUAAUAAAUCACAUGUUCAUUUAUGGAGUUCUUGAAAGAAAAAAGGUACUGAUUGUGUGUGCAACACUUGAUUACAUGAUUUAAAAUGUUGUUGCUUAUAUCAAGAAGAUUUUGGUCAAGAAAUAAAAAAAGAACAUACAUAAUUGUCAAUACGUCGGGUUUUGUUUUGGAAUUAAAUGCUUUAGAUCUGGGAUGCCGCUUUUAUAUCCUCUAUUGUGUUCAAUCAGGUUUUAUUAGAUGAUCAAUUAAUCUUUAGUUGCAUCUAAAAAAUGAUCUUUAGUUUCACAGUGUCAUCGGGUUGCAACUGAACAUGACAAGAAACUGUUGUUCAAGGUGUUAAUGAUCUUCUGUUAGUUUUGAAUAUUCACAGAUUUGCUUGUUAAAAUCUUGUCAAGUUUCUUUGUGACAGUUACAGUUUAGCACAAUUCCGAAUAUAUUCUCUUGAUAUGAAAGGCAUACAUUAAAGAAAUCAAAGUUUCAUUCUCAUUCUUGUGUAGCUUUGUGCAUGCUUGUUGUUUAGCCUUUGGUGAAAUCUGCAAGCUUUCAUUGUAGGUGGUAAUUGAAUCAAGAAAUUCAGUAUGAACUUAUAAAGUGUAGAGGUUCUACAGAUGCGGCAACAUCAAGGACUGCCGUGAGGAAGCACCUGGAGUGGAGUCACGACAACGUUGUGAUUCUCAUUAACCUAUGAGAACGAACAUAACCACAACCACGUACAGCCCCCGACCUAUCGAUGCUCGCCAUGAAUUCAGUAAAGCCCGACUGAAGUUACCAAUCCCAGAAGAAUAUAGAAGAACUCUAAAUUAUUAUGCCAUGGAUGGAACAUGUCAUUAAUCUGGUCUUUGGUUAUUCGGUCUGACAAAAGAAUUGGAUGUAAGUGAAUUUUGUAUCAGGAAGGCAAACAUUACAUUGCGUGUCGUUUUCAUGAUGUAUAAUGAAUACUUGAUCUUGGCUGCAUCUUCCUUAUGUCGGCAAACAUUUACCUUAUGAGUUAUUCUGUCGAUAAAUCGUGCUUAUCAAAUAUCCGUGUACAAGUACCACUGGAAAUUUUUUCUUCUAACUUGUGUGCAUUUUCAGAAGAUUGCGAUAGGCUUGUCAGUAAGUGUUAUGUU
rnacentral:lncRNA from 1 species